GGCUCUACCUGGUCCUGGUUUCUGCAGCUCUUCUCUAUCCCAGGUGGAGGCAUCUAUCCUCCGUGUAGACUGAACCCUGCUCUCAGGUGCUAAGACCAGGUCCAUCUGAAAAUUAAAAACUGAAGUCCGGAACCACAUAAGCCCCUUAGAAGCAAAGUGGAAUGUGUAACCAGGAUCCUGGCCCCAAAUUGGCCCAGCCCAGGAAAGACCAGGGGAACACGCAUUCUACCCCACCUUCUGCCAUGCUCAAGGGCAUAAAAUCUCUUCAUGUUCUCCAAGGCCAAGAGUAAAUGUCAUCUUCUAAGACUA